UUGGAGGGCAAGUCUGGUGCCAGCAGCCGCGGUAAUUCCAGCUCCAAUAGCGUAUAUUAAAGUUGUUGCAGUUAAAAAGCUCGUAGUUGAAUUUCGGGAUCAGUAGGUUGGUCAUGCCUAUGGUAUGUACUGGCUUUACUGGUUCCUCCUUCUUGAUGAUCUGUAAUGUCAUUAAUUUGGUGUUGCAGGGAGUCAGGACUGUUACUUUGAAAAAAUUAGAGUGUUUAAAGCAGGCAUACGCUUGAAUACAUUAGCAUGGAAUAAUGAAAUAGGACGUUCGAUCCUAUUUUGUUGGUUUCUAGGAUUGACGUAAUGAUUAAUAGGGAUAGUUGGGGGCAUUAGUAUUCAAUUGUCAGAGGUGAAAUUCUUGGAUUUAUUGAAGACUAACUACUGCGAAAGCAUUUGCCAAGGAUGUUUUCAUUAAUCAAGAACGAAAGUUAGGGGAUCGAAGACGAUCAGAUACCGUCGUAGUCUUAACCAUAAACUAUGCCGACUAGGAAUCAGACGAUGUUAAUUUUUUAAUGACUCGUUCGGCGCCUUACGGGAAAC
rnacentral:rRNA from 1 species